UACGGAGGGUGCAAGCGUUAUCCGGAUUUAUUGGGUUUAAAGGGUCCGUGGGCGGAUCUGUAAGUCAGUGGUGAAAUCUCACAGCUUAACUGUGAAACUGCCAUUGAUACUGCAGGUCUUGAGUAAGGUAGAAGUGGCUGGAAUAAGUAGUGUAGCGGUGAAAUGCAUAGAUAUUACUUAGAACACCAAUUGCGAAGGCAGGUCACUAUGUCUUAACUGACGCUGAUGGACGAAAGCGUGGGGAGCGAACAGG
rnacentral:rRNA from 1 species